GGGAGUGCACUUGAUUUUCAUUUUUAUUAUACAUAUUGAGUUGUCUAUCCACAUACAUGUAAUUACUCAAAUGCACAUAUGUGCAUACAUAACCUACCCCUACCUAAUGCAAGACAUUCUCUUCAGACACACAAGGAUGUAUACACAAACAUUAUCUAACAUGCGUACAUAAACAUCCGUUAAACUGCAUACAUAGACAUUAUUUGUAUGUACACACAGAAACUAACAAUCAGACACAGACACAAACUAACACGCAUCCUUAGACACAUACAGAAAUUAACACACAUCAAUAGACCUACAAUAAAAUACAUUCACUGACAGUCACACUGCCAAAAAAAUACAUUAUCACACAAUUAUAAUCUAUCUCCUUCUCUUUCUGCUUACUUUCUGCCUGAGGGAGGGAUAGGAGAGGCUUCAAACUGCUGUCCCAGGUGUCCAUUGUAG